rnacentral:lncRNA from 1 species
UCUUGCAGAUCUUGUCGCCGUUGACGGUUCACGAGACGGAGCUCAUGGUGGAGUACGAAUAGCUCGAGAGAGGAGAUGAAGUUGGGGAGAAAGAGACAAAGCGACACAUGAACUCCAAGUGGCCCCCUUGUCGGCCUAGACAACAGACGAUGGAGAGGCCUAGAUCGCUCUAUUUGUGGGGGCGAUGGCGGUUCAGCCGUGGCGUGGUUGGCAACAGAUGAGCCGGUGGAGAGAGACAGAGAGGGAAGAGAAGGAGGUGGGUGUUAGGUUUUGGUUAGGCUGGGACGGUUUGCCGUGAAGUAUAAUGCAAAUGCAUUUGACAUACAGCAGUCUAAUUGAUACUUAGAAAUACGAACAUCACCCACAUUUUAAUUAUGUUUGCAUGUCCAAUAAAUUCAUACUUAUAACCAAGUGAAUACUUGGUUGGAGGAAGUUUUCUUUAGCAUGGGGAAAGAAACAAAAACCUCACAUAUACUAAACGGAAGCAACUCGAAAACAAAGACCUCACACAUACUAAACGGAAGCAACUCGAAAACAAAGACCUCACACAUACUAAACGGAAGCAACUCCUUGUCUCAUUUUAUCACCCUUGGGCGUUGUCCGGCACUCCUUCCUGCUUGGUCCGAUUAUUGUGUGAUGCUCCUCACUGUUCGGUUCCUUUCGUGCGGCAGAACUUCCCAUACGCUUGGAAUACGCACCGACAUAUCACUGGCAGCGCCCCUGCGAGCAGCACAUAGCGG